rnacentral:miRNA from 1 species
GCAGCCACAUUCCAGCCAAUCAGCAGCAGACCCUCCCUCCCAGGCCCUCCCACCUCCUGGACAGCAUCCAUUUUACAUUCAUUGUGAAGCUGCAUUCUUAGUGAGCUGUCCAGGAGGUGGGAGGGUCUGGGAGGGAGGGUCUGCUGCUGAUUGGCUGGAAUUUGUCUG